GGAGGAGGAAGGCAAAGGGACCGCACCCUGGAGCCCUUCGCACCCUGGCCAACCGGGGGCCAGGCACCUCGGCAACGCCCCAGAAACGCCCUGGAAGGAAUUGCUACCGAAUCAGAGCACUAAAGAUUGAACUCAGAGUCUUUUGGAAGAGCUCUACCACUGAGAUACACCCCUCACCCUUUGAACAAAAAUUUGACAAACAACUCCUUAGCAUUAUCUUACUUCAUGUUGAGAUUACUCAAGAUACAAGGAGACAACUGAUCGUGUCAUGAUACCUAACUCCUAACUCAUGCAAGGUCCCUGCAGAAAAAUGUCUGAGGCUGUUAAGCCAGAAUUCAUGGGUGCCAUCUGUAUGGAUAAGAUCACUGGGAGGCUUUUAUACCCAAUUACUAUGGAAGCUGAUUUUAAUAAAAUGCAUGGCUCUGUCUACACUGGAGCAGUUUAUACAGGUGGAAGAUUUAAUGGUGUUGCUACAACAUUUAUGGAGGAUGAGCCAAGAGCUGUAUACACACAUUGUCAUGCAAGUCUUGGG
rnacentral:lncRNA from 1 species